rnacentral:rRNA from 1 species
AAUGAACGUUGGCGGCGUGGAUUAGGCAUGCAAGUCGUACGGGUCGGUGUAGCAAUACAACGGCAAGUGGCGAAAGGGAGAGUAACGCGUAGAUACCUACCCUCUGGUCGGGGAUACCGCGGCAUAACCGCAAGUAAUACCCGAUAAUAUCUCCGGAUCAAAGGUGUGAUUCCGCCGGAGGAGGGGUCUGCGUUUCAUCAGCUUGUUGGUGAAGUAACGGCUCACCAAGGCUAAGACGAAUACGGGGUGUGAGAGCAUGCCCCCGCUCACUGGGACUGAGACACUGCCCAGACACCUACGGGUGGCUGCAGUCGAGAAUCUUCGGCAAUGGGCGCAAGCCUGACCGAGCGACGCCGCGUGCGGGAUGAAGGCCUUCGGGUUGUAAACCGCUGUCGAGGGGGAUAAAGUGCAGGUGGGUUCUCCCAUUUGUUUGAUAGAUCCCUGGAGGAAGCAUGGGCUAAGUUCGUGCCAGCCGCCGCGGUAAUAC